rnacentral:misc_RNA from 1 species
UCGUAUAACGGAGGUGCCGGGGCUGUCGCUAACUUUGUGCACGCCCUGGUACUCUCUCACAAAAUCCAUCUCACCCCCUUUGUGCACCACCGCGUGGGUGCUCUCCUUUUGGUUCGUUCCGAAAGGGGGCAUUUGCGUUUUUAUACAAAACCACUGCAUGUGUAGAAUGUCAUUCAUUUGCGAUCAUACGCAAUCAAUA